AAACGGGUGGUAAUGCCGGAUGCUCCAGCUGAUCGCAUGGUGUGUUGGGAAAGCCUUUGCGGCAUGGGAUGGGGUCGCGUCCUAUCAGCUUGAUGGCGGGGUAACGGCCCACCAUGGCUUCGACGGGUAGCCGGCCUGAGAGGGCGACCGGCCACAUUGGGACUGAGAUACGGCCCAGACUCCUACGGGAGGCAGCAGUGGGGAAUAUUGCACAAUGGGCGCAAGCCUGAUGCAGCGACGCCGCGUGAGGGAUGGAGGCCUUCGGGUUGUAAACCUCUUUUGUUAGGGAGCAAGGCAUUUUGUGUUGAGUGUACCUUUCGAAUAAGCACCGGCUAACUACGUGCCAGCAGCCGCGGUAAUACGUAGGGUGCAAGCGUUAUCCGGAAUUAUUGGGCGUAAAGGGCUCGUAGGCGGUUCGUCGCGUCCGGUGUGAAAGUCCAUCGCUUAACGGUGGAUCCGCGCCGGGUACGGGCGGGCUUGAGUGCGGUAGGGGAGACUGGAAUUCCCGGUGUAACGGUGGAAUGUGUAGAUAUCGGAA
rnacentral:rRNA from 1 species